UACGUAGGGGGCAAGCGUUGUCCGGAUUUAUUGGGCGUAAAGAGCGUGUAGGCGGCCGUACAGGUCAGCUGUGAAAACCCGAGGCUCAACCUCGGGCCUGCAGUGGGUACGGGCAGACUAGAGUGCGGUAGGGGAGAUUGGAAUUCCUGGUGUAGCGGUGGAAUGCGCAGAUAUCAGGAGGAACACCAAGUGGCGAAGGCAGAUCUCUGGGCCGUAACUGACGCUGGAGGAGCGAAAGCAUGGGGAGCGAACAGG
rnacentral:rRNA from 1 species